UUUCCUGUGUCUCUGGUGGUCUGCCUAAACCUACAAAUAUAACCUUCUUAUCUAUAAACAUGAAGAAUAUCCUACAGUGGAACCCACCACAGGGCCUACAAGGAGUGGAAGUUACUUAUUCUGUGCAGUAUUUCAUUUUCCUUCUCAGCAGAUAUGGGCAAAAGAAAUGGCUGAAUAAAUCCGAAUGCAGAAAUAUCAGUAGGACCUACUGUGAUCUCUCUGCUGAAACUUCUGACUACGAACGUCAAUAUUAUGCCAAAGCUAAGGCCAUCUGGGGAACGAAUUGUUCUAAAUGGGCAGAAACUGGACGAUUCUAUCCUCUUUUAGAAACACAAAUUGGCCCACCAGAGGUUGCUUUGACUACUGAUGAGAAAUCCAUAUCUAUUGUUCUGACGGCUCCAAAGAAGUGGAAGAAAAACCCAGAAGAAAGCUCUAUUUCCCUGGAACAAAUAUACUCUAAUCUGAAGUAUAAUGUGUCCAUACAUAAUACUAAAUCAAACAGAACGUGGUCCCAGUGUGUGACAAACCGAACGCUGGUAUUCAGCUGGCUGGAGCCGGACACUCUGUACUGCGUCCUCGUGGAGUCCUUCAUCCCAGGCCCUCCUCGCCUUGUUCAGCCGUCUGAGAAGCAGUGUGUCAGUACUUUGAAAGAUCAAACAUCAACACUGAAGGUUAAAAUCAUCUUCUGCUAUGUUCUGCCCAUAUCUGUUACUGUGUUUAUUUUUUCUGUGAUGUGCUACUCCAUGUACAGAUAUACCUACGUCGGCAAAGAGAAACACCCAGCAAAUCUGAUUUUGAUUUAUGGAAAUGAAUUUGACAAAAGAGUCUUUGUACCUGCUGAAAAAGUUGUGAUUAACUUUAUCACUCUCAAUAUUUUGGAGGAUUCUAAAACUUCUCAUAAGGAUAUAAGUGUAAUGGAAAAAAGCAAUGAUGCCUCAGACCUGAAUGAGCCCAGCAAGGACCAGGAGCCCCAUCAGGAGGAAGUGGAGGUGAAACACCUGGGAUAUGCUUCACAUGUGGUGGACAUUGUGUAUGACCCUGAGAAAAGCACCCAAGGGACUUCCUUAAGCCAGCAAGAGCCACCCAGCAGGACAAUGCCCACAGAUAAAACAGUCAUCGAAUAUGAAUGUGAUGUAAGAACUAGCGACAUUUCUGUGGGGCCUGGAGACCAGGAGUUCAAUUUGCAGGAGGAAGUGUCCCUACAAGGAAAGUUAUCUGAGCAACAGGCAACUUUAGCAGACUUGGGUCCACAAACACUACCAUAUUCAUAUACCCCUCAGCUCAGAGACUUGGACCACCUGCCGCAGGGGCAUGUGGACACAGAGGAGGGGCCAGAGGCAGAACCAUCAACCACACUGGUCGAUUGGGACCCUCGGACUGGCAGGCUGUGUAUACCUUCAUUAUCCAGCUUUGAACAUGACUCAGAGAGAUGUAAGCAUCCUGAGUCUGAGGGACUCGAGGACGAGGGCCUCUUAUCUAGACUCUACCAGGAUCGGGCUCCAGACAAGACACUGGAGGAACAUGAAGCCUAUCUCAUGCAGUUUAUGGAGGAAUGGGGAUUAUAUGUACAAAUGGAAGACUAACACUCAAACGUCCCUUUGCCAGACCUCUACUGUUACAAAACACUGCUUGUUUCAUUCCGCCUCCUGUGGGUGCUGGGUUGUGCGUGUGGGUCUCCCGCACUGACGGUGGGCGCCCAGAGUGCAGUGGCUGACCCUCUUUGUACCCAGUAAGUAUUCAAAAAUGUUGGCCAACUUGGAUGCAGAACUUAUUCAGUAAUAAUUUGCUGACAAAGUUUUACCAGCUGAGCUCCAGCAGUUCCUGGCCAAAGAUUUAAGAUUUGUGUCAGUGCCCCAGAGAUAGGCUCCACGACCAGAUCAGCAGACAGGCACCCACCAUGGAUCCUAGCAUCGUCUUCAAACGCGGACCCUCCUCUCUCCAGAGCUAUGGCUACUGCUGCCACUAUUGCUGCUUCUGCUGCUGCUGUCGCCAUCAUCACCACCAUCCGGACCCAGGUCCCAGCCUUGGCGUGUGCAGCCAAGCUAACUGCUUAGCACGAACAUUGGCCACUGCUCACAGUGCCACAGGACUAAGCCAGCGUGCAUGAGGGCGUGUGUGUGUGCGUGUGUGCUGUGUGCUGUCACUUCACGUAUCUCCUCUUUGCACAGGCUUGUUCCAUUAUCUAUUCAGACUUAACUUACAAAACACAGCCUCCUCAUUGGCCAGUUCUGGCACCAUCCCUCAGGAAUCCAAGCUGUGCUUGUGUCUUGUCCUUGGAUGCCCAUAAGAUGGCCCACUGUAUUUUUGCAAAAAAUCCCCUAUUGGAUGCCCAGUCAUUGUCCUUUCUCUCUUCUUUACUAAAAGAAAAGUUAGUCUUUUCAGGGGAGCCAUAUGCCACUUCCCAGAAUUCCUUACAUCUAAAGGAAUGCACACAUGAGGCUGGAGGUAGAAGAGCCGUCUUGCAAGCAUGAAGCAAAAAGCAAGAAGGUUGAGCUGGAACACUGUUCACUGAUACCAUCAGGAAGCAGCUACACCAAUCCCAGACUGCCAACUUCUGAACUUCUUAUUUUAUUAGAAACAUAAAUUCUUUUGGUUGGGUGCUGAAUCCAGUUUUUAUUAUAUGCAGCCAGAUGAAAUCUUAACUGAGAUACCCCUUUGCUUACGUUACCUUGGGUGGGUUUUUGUUUCUUGCAACUUGCUGUUUUUGCACCAUCCAUACCCUAUGGAUCCUUUUCCUGCACAAGGACCUUCCCUCAAGGUGGUUUCACUCCUACCAACCAGUACCUGCAGCUCUUUGUUAGAGGACUACUCUCAGGCUGCCCAGCCUGUUGGUCUUAAGAGCUGUAACUACCCGGGAAUUUACAUCCCCUGGGAGCUAUUUGUAACCCUUGCCUUACUCUGGAUGGUUUUACUUACUGCAGGAUUGAGUAAGAGUUAUGCCCUGUGAGAUAUUGAUCUGACACUCUUGCACAAUCCCACUCCCCUACCAGUUUCUCCUAGGGACAUUUCCUAAUAAACUACUUUCCCAUGAAUCCUUAUCUCAGGGUCCACUUAUGGGAAACUCAACCUAAGAUGCAAUCCAAAGACCCCUGAAUAGAAUACGUAUUCCCAAGUGCUAUGGACUGAAUGUUUGUGUCCUCUCAAAACUCUUUUGUCGAAACACUUUGUCCCCAAUUUGAUGGUAUUUGGUGGUGGUAAAUAGGAAAUUAGGCCUUAAGGGUGGAGUCCCCAUGAUUAUAAGUGCCCUUAUAAAAAGAGGAAGAGACAUGAGAUCUCUCUCCCUCUUUUUUUUUGUGCACAUGCCAAGGAAAGGCCAUGUGAGGACAUAACCACAUGGACUCUCACUAAGAGCAUCCUGGCACCCUGACCUUGGACUUCUAGCCUCCAGAAACAUGAGAAAUAAACAUUUAUUGUUUAAGUCA